GGUCUGUAACUGGUCUCUCUCUUCAGUCAGGUUGUUGUAUCUGGUCUGUAACUGGUCUCUCUCUUCAGUCAGGUUGUUGUAUCUGGUCUGUAACUGGUCUCUCUCUUCAGUCAGGUUGCUGUAUCUGGUCUGUAACUGGUCUCUCUCUUCAGUCAGGUUGUUGUAUCUGGUCUGUAACUGGUCUCUCUCUCU